AUGAGAAAAGCUCCAUUUUUCCGUUUGUGUGCUAUAUUUAGAGAGAGAAAUUUGUUGUUGGAUAGCAUCCAUACUUCUAUCGAGGAACAAGUUGCCAUGUUUCUUUACGUAGUUGGCCAUAACCAAAGGUAUAGGACACUACAACCUAUCUUUAGAAGAUCUAUCGAAGUCAUUAGUAGGUAUUUUAAGGCAGUGCUUUAUGCUGUUGGGGAGUUGAGAGAUGAGAUGAUUCGGCCUCCCUCCAACCAUUGCCAUCGUAAAAUACAAGAAAGCACCCGCUUCAAUCCAUAUUUCAAGGAUUGUGUUGGAGCAAUAGAUGGGACUCAUGUGCUUGCUAGAGUCCCAAAAAGUAUCUCAGCUGCCUUUAGGGGCAGAAAAGAGGGGACUACCCAAAAUGUAAUGGCCGCGGUAGACUUUGAUCUAAAGUUUACAUAUGUACUUGCGGAGGUGGCGGAAAGAGGUGCCAAGACUGACAAAGGAUUCAAAGAGGCAGCAAAACUGAAAGUUGCAAAGUCUAUAUCUGCUUUCGUUGGUUAUGAUGUGUCUAUUACUCAAGUGCACAAUCAUAUUCGCAAGUGGCGGAAUAGGUGGACAAGAAUUGUUUAUUUGAAGAGUUUAAGUGGGGCACUUUGGGAUGAUGACAAGAAGAUGGUACUUCUAGAAGAACAUCACUAUUUGGGCCACACUCAGGAUCAUCCAACAGAUGCUGAACUUCUCAAUUCCCCACUUGAGAACUACAACUAUAUGGAAAAUUGCUUUGCUAAUAAACAAGCCACCGGGAAUUAUGCAAUGGCCAUCGGUGUGCCACUGGGAACACCUAUCUUUGUGGAAGACAAAGAUAAACCCAAUGUCAUGGAGGGGCAUGUAACAACUGAUGAGGUAUUGCAACAUCUUCCUGGGUCUAACUUCGUACUUCCAACUGCUAGUGCCACUCAGGACCCUUCACCUACUUCAAAUAAGAAGAGAAAGAGGGCAUCAGGUUUGACUGAGGAGGACACAAUCUAG
rnacentral:rRNA from 1 species